rnacentral:rRNA from 1 species
AGCAGCCGCGGUAAUUCCAGCUCCAAUAGCGUAUAUUAAAGUUGUUGCAGUUAAAAAGCUCGUAGUUGAAUUUCGGGAUUGGCGCAUCGGUCGUGCCUCACGGGGUAUGAACUGGUGCAGUCAAUUUCUCACCUUCUGGAGAACCGCGAUGUCCUUAAUUGGAUGCCGCGGGGAACCAGGACCUUUACUUUGAAAAAAUUAGAGUGUUUAAAGCAGGCAUUUUUGCUUGAAUACAUUAGCAUGGAAUAAUAAAAUAGGACGGCAUGGUUCUAUUUUGUUGGUUUCUAGGACCACCGUAAUGAUUAAUAGGGAUAGUUGGGGGCAUUAGUAUUCAAUUGUCAGAGGUGAAAUUCUUGGAUUUAUUGAAGACUAACUACUGCGAAAGCAUUUGCCAAGGAUGUUUUCAUUAAUCAAGAACGAAAGUUAGGGGAUCGAAGACGAUCAGAUACCGUCGUAGUCUUAACCAUAAACUAUGCCGACUAGGAAUCAGACGAUGUUAAUUUUUUUCAAUGACUCGUUU